GGAUAACCGCUGAAAGCAUCUAAGCGGGAAGCCCCCUUCAAGAUCAGAUUUCCCUGGACCCUUGAGGUCCCUGAAGUGCCCUCGAAGACUACGAGGUUGAUAGGCUGGGUGUGGAAGUUCAGUAAUGGAUGAAGCUAACCAGUACUAAUUGCACGUGAGGCUUGAUCAUAUAACGCCAAAGCGUUUUG
rnacentral:rRNA from 1 species